AAAUAAUGUAUUAAGAACUAGAACUGGAUAAGGGAGAAGCUAAUGAGUUCCUAAGCCAACAGGGAAUAAUAAAGCAACAGCAAAAUAAUGAAAAAAUGGAAGAGAAUAUGAUAGAACUUAUCACAAAAAUAAUUGCCCUGCAGCAUAGCAGUACCAGAUCUUAAAUUGUAUUAUAAAGCAAUGGUCAUCAAAACGAUAUGGCACUGGCUAAGAGACAGAAAGGAGUAUCAAUGGAAUAGACUUGAGGAACUGAGCUACUCGCAGCCCGCCCCCUGAAAGACCAAGAGUGUCUCACAAACAGUCUUGGGAGAAUAUGGAUCAAGGGUUUCAAGGUAAAUUUGUUCUUGAUAAUUGAUAUUAAGUUCUGAAAUGGUACUGGGGCUUUAACAGUUGGGAGGCAACGAGGGGUAUUCAGACUGAUAGCAAUAGAGAUAUGACCUCCCUCAAUCCCUUAGGGUAACCCUCUGGCACAGGAGAGGCAAUAUAACAUAUAUGGCACUGGGAGGGAGGGUCAAAGCAAACUAUGAUCCUUUGAAUUUAUGAUAGAG
rnacentral:lncRNA from 1 species